UCGCAAGACCUUGCGCUAAAGGAGCGGCCGAUGUCUGAUUAGCUAGUUGGUGGGGUAAAAGCCUACCAAGGCGACGAUCAGUAGUUGGUCUGAGAGGACGACCAACCACACUGGGACUGAGACACGGUCCAGACUCCUACGGGAGGCAGCAGUGGGGAAUUUUGGACAAUGGGCGAAAGCCUGAUCCAGCCAUGCCGCGUGAGUGAAGAAGGCCUUCGGGUUGUAAAGCUCUUUCAGUCGGAAAGAAACGAUUGUGAUUAAUACUCACAAUUAAUGACGGUACCGACAGAAGAAGCACCGGCUAACUACGUGCCAGCAGCCGCGGUAAUACGUAGGGUGCGAGCGUUAAUCGGAAUUACUGGGCGUAAAGGGUGCGCAGGCGGUCUUGUAAGUCAGAUGUGAAAUCCCCGGGCUUAACCUGGGAAUUGCGUUUGAAACUACAAAGCUAGA
rnacentral:rRNA from 1 species